GUAGGUGGCAAGCGUUGUCCGGAAUUAUUGGGCGUAAAGCGCGCGCAGGCGGUCCUUUAAGUCUGAUGUGAAAGCCCACGGCUCAACCGUGGAGGGUCAUUGGAAACUGGGGGACUUGAGUACAGACGAGGAAAGCGGAAUUCCAAGUGUAGCGGUGAAAUGCGUAGAGAUUUGGAGGAACACCAGUGGCGAAGGCGGCUUUCUGGUCUGUAACUGACGCUGAGGCGCGAAAGCGUGGGGAGCAAACAGGAUUAGAUACCCUGGUAGUCCACGCCGUAAACGAUGAGUGCUAAGUGUUAGGGGGUUUCCCGCCCCCCUUAGUGCUGCAGCUAACGCAUUAAGCACUCCGCCUGGGGAGUACGGCCGCAAGGCUG
rnacentral:rRNA from 1 species